CAUUGGAACAAGGGAGCUUCCA
rnacentral:siRNA from 1 species